GUGCCCAGACUAUUUGCUAUUAUUUUAAUUUUGCUUCAUGUUCAUCUAUUUUCAUAGAUGUUGGAAGGGAGUGUUGUCUGAGAAACCACAUCUCAUCUGAAUUACUCACCUUUCUAUCCUUUUACAUUGGUAUAACCUCAGGAGCCCUUCCUUGCUUUUGGUAGACCUGCAAGAACAAACCCAUUGAGAUGGCUACAGAAUGAGAAGGGAAGCUUUUUCAUGGUGUAAGAAGUAAGAAAAAUUGAUUAGGAAGAACUCUGUGGGUAAGGAGAAAGAAAACCUACUAGGAGACCAUUAUUGCAGUGAAGAGCAUAGAACAAGGCUCUCUGGAAACUUAAGGGAAUCAUAAUAUGCCUGAGAAAACAUAAACAAAAAUUAUCUUAAUGACAAAUAAGUGCUUCGGAAAUAAACAAAGGCCAAAAUCUGUUAGAGAUGGUAGGUAGACAGCUCUCAUAUUUCCGUGGAUUGCAUCCUCAUGAAGGAUUUUCAACUUGUCUUUCAUUUUGAAAUUGAAUAAAUAUUGGAAUGCAUUAUCAUCCACCCUCCCUACAUUCAUCUAUAAAAGGAGACAUGACAGAUGUAAAGUUCCUAUCAAUAUGUGAACAGCAGAGGGAAAAAUGAGGCUGCACCCUGAAUUGAAGUGAUCCUAUCUCUUUAAGCCUCUUUCACACUGGAGAGCUACAGGAAGCCUGAGUUUGAAAUCAUUUGGUCCAGACAGAAGAGGAGAAGCAAGGACCGAGUGUCAUGAAGAGGGAAACAUUGCCAGACUGUCAGAGGUUACCUAAUAUCCUUUGAUGGGUUUCCUCCUGUUUCCCUGAAUCUGGGAUGACUGUCCCCUUGAACUGCUCCGGUAUCUUAGCCAAUGGACAAUGUAUUGUUACUCCCCUCCUUAUCUAUUCGUGGUUUUUGCACACAUACCAUGAACUCAUAAGUGUUGAAGGAUCUCGACGUGUAAAAAUAUUUGUAAGAACAAGUUCAGUGACUAGAAAUUUGCUAGCUGGUUUGAAAUAAAGAGAUACACAUAAAACUAUAUUAUGAACUGGGAUCACCCAAAUUAUCUUCUGCAGGACAUUAUUCUACUAGAAAAUAUGGACAAAAUCAUAAGGACAAUUGUCAGUUUGAUGCUGACAAAAUUUUGUAAAAUUCCUUAUAUUAAAACCACUCUUCACUAUUAGCAGGAGACUACACAUGUUCUAAUGGUCUGAGAAAUACUGCAGUAAAUAAAUCUGGUUAAUUUUGUUUAAACCAAA